CCCAAUGUUACUCUGUGGUAUUUUGGCCCAUUCUCGGCGAAGCGCUUGCUUGAGGUGAUCGACACUUUGGUAUUUUUUAGUGCCAACCUUGCUUUCCAAAAUACUCCAGACACAAUAGUCUAAGCUUUAAUAUUUUCGCGAUAAUAUUCGGCAUUUAUUCCGAUGCCACGGUCGAUUAAUACGAGCGGAGAGUGACCAUUGCUGCCCACACCAUCACCAUGGCCUACGCUUGAGUUCUGGUGGCCAACAGAAGGUGCACAUUUUCAGCUGACCUCUUUGGCAAGUAAACACGAUCAUUUUGUUUGUUUACAAACUGCUGGACGACGAAUGUUUUCUCAUCGGAGAAAACCAAAUUCGGCAAUUCACCACUUUCGGCCAAGCGAA